GAGGGUAUAGCUCAGUGGUAGAGGGCAUGCUUGGCAUGCUUAGCAUGCAUGAGGUCCUGAGUUCAAUCCCCAGUACUGCCA
rnacentral:tRNA from 1 species